UGGGCACCCGGAUUCCGCCAGGCUGCCCAGACACGCAACUGACCUUGUCAGGUAUCAGAAUGACGAGUGGAAGCAUCAGGAUCGGGGUGAAGAGCAAAAUCGCAAAGGACUUGAACUUGGUCACACAAGUCUUCGCCGAAUCCAUCGCGUGAAAGGGAGACUGACUGGAGGGAGAAAAGAUUGCGAGGCAGCUAGAAGCUUCACGAGCUUAAAAGGGGGACGCGCGGUCCCACCGGAUUGGGGGCGGCUACAACUCCGCCCCCCAUUGCCAGGCCUCCCUGCGGUCCUGGGGCGGAGCCACCCCUCGGGGUCUGUGGGGAGUGUCUGUCCCAGGACUCUGCCACCCCGCGGCAGAGUGAGGCGUUUGCAGAUUUCAGUGCUUGGCACCAGCCCUCUAUGGAGAGGACUGGACCCUGGCACCUCACCACUUGCCAGCCCGUUGGCGCUGCUCUGGUCCUCAGUACCAUGCAGGGUGUGCCGGUCAUUCUGCCAGCUUAAGCGUGAGGACCCUUUGUGUACUCUCACCUGCUCUCUCCUGGACUCCGGAAUGUCCCAGAUGAAAAACACCAGCCUGUAGGAUUCUCAGGCUUCUCUCUCCAAAGCGUUCUCCUUCUCAUCCCUAUCCCGGAGGGGCGUCUCCUAGAGGCGAUGGCCGAGCCCUGCGCCACCGCGGUCUUCUCACCUCCAAGAUCCGCUGGCUUCCUCCUAGCGUUAGCCCGACUCUAGACAUAGAACCCAUUUCCCUCCUCGUGCCGUCUCCUACCCAGCGCACCGUAGGCGCUCUAGAGGGACCGCUAAGGAAGGCGGUCACUGUCCUCGCAGACCGAACGACUUUUACCCUCCAGCGAACGCGCUUGCGCAGGCCGGCCGUCUUUGCCCAGGCGCGGGUAGUUGCUGCCGCCCACUUACCAACCACCUCGCUAGUACCAUUUUAUGGUGGGAGACGGGGCCUUAGAAAAGAGGGGGCAUAAUCCUGCCAACCAUCAUCGAGGCAUUCGUUCAUUCAUUAAUCCUCCCCUUAACAGACCUGUGUGUAGUACCUGCUGUGCUAAGUCCUGUUUGGGACACCAACACAAGAGGGUGCAAUGACAUUAUUGACACUUCGCCCUGCCACCACCACCACCAGGAAAGAACUACUGAAUUCCCCACCUUCUCAGCCUGUGAAUGUCGAAGGCCCUAAAACAGAACACACAUUUGUAUCAAGAUUUUUGACUCUGUUCCUGUGACCUGCCUGUCACCUUGCCCUCAAGUCUGCAACUGCCUUCUUCAGGCCCUCUCUAUUUUCGCAAGAAGAGUGAGUCCUGCUGUUAACCAUGGAGCCAGCUUUCCAGCCUUUUGGAGUUUUUAUUUAAUCUUCGUUUUAUUUAUCACCAUGUGCCCACUUAACACCCUUUACCAGGCCUCAUUCAGGACGUUCACUCAAAGUCUGGGAUCUACGAUGCUGGUCAACCAUUCUGCUGUAAUUUAAGUGCUUUAAAGUCUAUAAAGUGUGCGCUGCAGCUAAAUGCCUGAAUCC
ensembl:processed_transcript 1700051A21Rik RIKEN cDNA 1700051A21 gene